rnacentral:rRNA from 1 species
GAUGAACGCUGGCGGCGUGCCUAAUACAUGCAAGUCGAGCGAACGGACGAGAAGCUUGCUUCUCUGAUGUUAGCGGCGGACGGGUGAGUAACACGUGGAUAACCUACCUAUAAGACUGGGAUAACUUCGGGAAACCGGAGCUAAUACCGGAUAAUAUUUUGAACCGCAUGGUUCAAAAGUGAAAGACGGUCUUGCUGUCACUUAUAGAUGGAUCCGCGCUGCAUUAGCUAGUUGGUAAGGUAACGGCUUACCAAGGCAACGAUGCAUAGCCGACCUGAGAGGGUGAUCGGCCACACUGGAACUGAGACACGGUCCAGACUCCUACGGGAGGCAGCAGUAGGGAAUCUUACGCAAUGGGCGAAAGCAUGACGGAGCAACGCCGCGUGAGUGAUGAAGGUCUUCGGAUCGUAAAACUCUGUUAUUAGGGAAGAACAUAUGUGUAAGUAACUGUGCACAUCUUGACGGUACCUAAUCAGAAAGCAACGGCUAACUACGUG